rnacentral:rRNA from 1 species
UGGGGAAUAUUGGACAAUGGGCGAAAGCCUGAUCCAGCCAUGCCGCGUGUGUGAAGAAGGUCUUCGGAUUGUAAAGCACUUUAAGUUGGGAGGAAGGGCAGUAAGCGAAUACCUUGCUGUUUUGACGUUACCGACAGAAUAAGCACCGGCUAACUCUGUGCCAGCAGCCGCGGUAAUACAGAGGGUGCAAGCGUUAAUCGGAAUUACUGGGCGUAAAGCGCGCGUAGGUGGUUCGUUAAGUUGAAUGUGAAAGCCCCGGGCUCAACCUGGGAACUGCAUCCAAAACUGGCGAGCUAGAGUAGGGCAGAGGGUGGUGGAAUUUCCUGUGUAGCGGUGAAAUGCGUAGAUAUAGGAAGGAACACCAGUGGCGAAGGCGACCACCUGGCCUCAUACUGACACUGAGGUGCGAAAGCGUGGGGAGCAAACAGG